GAUGAACGCUGGCGGCGUGCUUAACACAUGCAAGUCGAACGAAGCACUUUAUUUGAUUUCCUUCGGGACUGAUUAUUUUGUGACUGAGUGGCGGACGGGUGAGUAACGCGUGGGUAACCUGCCUUUUACAGGGGGAUAACAGUUGGAAACGGCUGCUAAUACCGCAUAAGCGCCCAGCAUCGCAUGCUGCAGUGUGAAAAACUCCGGUGGUAUAAGAUGUACCCGAGUUGGAUUAGCUAGUUGGUGAGGUAACGGCCCACCAAGGCGACGAUCCAUAGCCGAGCUGAGAGGGUGACCGGCCACAUUGGGACUGAGACACGGCCCAAACUCCUACGGGAGGAAGCAGUGGGGAAUAUUGCACAAUGGGCGAAAGCCUGAUGCAGCGACGCCGCGUGAGCGAAGAAGUAUUUCGGUAUGUAAAGCUCUAUCAGCAGGGAAGAUAAUGACGGUACCUGACUAAGAAGCACCGGCUAAAUACGUG
rnacentral:rRNA from 1 species